CGGGUGGCAGCAGUGGGGAAUCUUAGACAAUGGGCGCAAGCCUGAUCUAGCCAUGCCGCGUGAUCGAUGAAGGCCUUAGGGUUGUAAAGAUCUUUCAGUGGGGAAGAUAAUGACUGUACCCACAGAAGAAGCCCCGGCUAACUCCGUGCCAGCAGCCGCGGUAAUACGGAGGGGGCUAGCGUUGUUCGGAAUUACUGGGCGUAAAGCGCACGUAGGCGGACUGGAAAGUCAGAGGUGAAAUCCCAGGGCUCAACCUUGGAACUGCCUUUGAAACUCCCGGUCUUGAGGUCGAGAGAGGUGAGUGGAAUUCCGAGUGUAGAGGUGAAAUUCGUAGAUAUUCGGAGGAACACCAGUGGCGAAGGCGGCUCACUGGCUCGAUACUGACGCUGAGGUGCGAAAGCGUGGGGAGCAAACAGGAUUAGAUACCCGAGUAGUC
rnacentral:rRNA from 1 species